UACGUAGGCAGCAAGCGUUGUUCGGAAUUACUGGGCGUAAAGAGUGUGUAGGCGGUGCUCUAAGUCUGUCGUGAAAUCUCCCGGCUUAACUGGGAGGGUGCGGCGGAAACUGGAAUGCUAGAGGGUGGGAGAGGAAAGCGGAAUUCCUAGUGUAGAGGUGAAAUUCGUAGAUAUUAGGAAGAACACCGGUGGCGAAGGCGGCCCACUGGAUCGGUACUGACGCUGAGGUGCGAAAGCGUGGGGAGCAAACAGG
rnacentral:rRNA from 1 species